UGGAGGUUUGCUGCCCGCUUUCGGACUACAUUUUCCAGGGGACUGCUGAGGCGGACGCUAUAUUCCUCAGGAUUUCUGCCGCUUUGCGGAAUGGCGGGACCUUUGGCUUCCCCGAGUUAGCUGCUGCGGGGCCUUUGGUGUCCCGUGCAAUUUAGCCAGUUUGGGCCAGACCGGAACUAGGAAACCACGAGGGUGAGGAGUUCAGUUUCUAUUGCUAAGAGGAAGAGUAAAGAAUGAUUAUUGAACAUCCACAGGCCAAGAUCAAGAUCAACAGACAAGAAAUCAAGGUACAGAAGAAUUCAGUGCCAUCUAAAUGACAUCUAUGGAUGGACAGCAGAAUUUAAGAAUGCCUAAAAGAAAAAUAAACAAUGGCAAGAAGAUAAAGGACUGAGAAAGCUAGAAAGAGACACAAAUCAAGAAAAAAGAUCUAAAGGAAGACUUAUAGUACAUUUUGAUUAAGAGUGGCAACUAUCUUUGAUAAUAUCAAGCAGACUAGAAAACAAUAUUAUAUCCGGAAAGUGAUAUUUGAAAGUUUAAAAUCUGCAAGCAAUUUGCAAAGGUUUACAAUUUGCAAAGGUUAGAAGCCUUUAAAAAGAAAAUAUUUCAAAGGUGCCACCCACCACGUGACCAUUUUAAAAUUUAUUCUCCACUAGAUUUCAUCCACCUGAAGCUUCAGAAACUCACCUAAGCAGGUAUGACCUGUAAAUGAUGUCCAUGGCUCUUCUCCUCGUUCCAACUUCAGGAUCACAUCAGGUUUGGUCAUGUGACACCCUGAUAAAGAAAAAUUUUGAUUAAGAUGCUUAGGCUUCAAUACAUUUGAAAAAUUAGUAAAGUACAUUCUCAAUACUGCAAAUUAAAGAUACUUCUUCAUGUAAGAGAAAACUUAACACCUUGCUCUGGGUAAGUACACGAUUAUCCUUUCUGUUAACAAAUAAUUCAUCACCUCCUAAACCUGAAAUUCAAGGCAUAAUUUAGGCACUUUGAAAGGAAAUGUAUGCUACUGAAAGUUUCCAAGAGAGUUUUUCUUACCCACAGAGAUGAGAUGGCAAUAGUUUUCCAACAUCACAUCCAUGUAGAGAGUCUUCUGAGCAGGAUCCAAGUGCUGCCACUCCUCCCGAGUGAAGUCCACAGUCACAUCUUUGAAUGACACUGAUGCCUGCAAUGGAUUGGAACUAUGAUCAGAAUAAGCUGACCAGAUAUUGUGGACUACUUUUGAUCCUGUUCCUUUGGGGCAUUCAUAUGAAUAUAAAGAAAGCCAAUCAUUUUUGUUUUGUCAUUUACGUAGUAAGGUAAACAAAAGUGAAGGCAGAAGUACCUGUCACUGAAUUUAUUUAAUAAUUAAUUCUAAAAAUAUUUACAUGAAGUCACUUUGUAUCUCAAAAGUGCAUUAGUUUACUGGAAUGCCAAAACAUACAAAGCAUGGUCCCCGCAUUGCCUCAAAGCAAGGAACACAUACCUUUAAGAAAGUAUGUAUAAACAUAAACCUGCUAGAAGGUGUUACAGGUACUACAACAAAAGAAUAUACAAGAUGCAGUAUAUUACAAGGGGAGCACAAUUCAGGAGGUAAAAUUUUUCCCUGUCAAGAUUAAUGUGUUAUGCGGGAAGAAUACGGUUUCAGAAUGCAUGGAACAACUCUGGCAUUCAAAAGUAACACAGUGAAUUGGUCAAGAAAACGAUCCCUCAGAUAGUAAUUAUUUAUAAUUAACACAGCAUAUAUAUCUGAACACAAUAUGUAAUAAAUGACAGAUGGCACUGGAAAAUAAUCAAAGCAAGCAAAAACUGAAGGAGAAUUUAUUCUUAACAGACAGCAAAUGCAAUAGGUAAGAACUGUUCAGUUCAUGACUUUUUUUCCAUGAAGGUACCAGAAACCCCACAGCUCCUGAGGCAGAGUUUAGAGCUGGCAGAUGAGCUGGAGUCUUUCUUUCUUCUUCUUCUUUUUUUUAAAGAUUUUAUUUAUUUGAGAGAGUGAGUGCACAAGCAGGAAAGGGGCAGAGAGAGAGGGAGAAGCAAGCUUCCCACUGAGCAGGCAGC